UGCCAGCCGCCGCGGUAAUACGAAGGGGGCUAGCGUUGUUCGGAAUUACUGGGCGUAAAGCGCACGUAGGCGGACUUUUAAGUCAGAUGUGAAAUCCCAAGGCUCAACCUUGGAACUGCAUUUGAAACUGGUAAGCUAGAGGAUGUGAGAGGUGAGUGGAAUUCCGAGUGUAGAGGUGAAAUUCGUAGAUAUUCGGAAGAACACCAGUGGCGAAGGCGACUCACUGGCACAUUUCUGACGCUGAGGCGCGAAAGCGUGGGGAGCAAACAGGAUUAGAUA
rnacentral:rRNA from 1 species